rnacentral:tRNA from 1 species
GGGCCCGUGGCGUAGCCAGGAAGCGUGGCGGCCACGCUAGCCGUAGGUCCCGGGUUCAAAUCCCGGCGGGCCCG